ensembl:lincRNA Gm26854 predicted gene, 26854
CUUCGGCCCGGGACGGACCAUCGGCCGCCCUGUCGGGGGAGUCCGGACGCACAAAGUUUCCAAAAAGUUCUGCCAGUCGCUGCCGCACCCCACUCGGGGCAGAGCUUAACUUAGCAAAGCAUGGCUCUUCUUUCUGAAUGGACCCAAGCAGACUGUUGCUUGACUUAUUACUGAAGCUGCACAUCACCCAGAAGCAAGAAUUCAUCACUAAAGGGAGCGCCACAUACUUCAAGAAGUAGUUAACCUGCCUUACCCUCCUCCAACCCUCCAGCACUUGUCAGGUGCUCUGCCUAGUGCCUAGCUCAGAGGAUGCUAAGUGGAGCAACACAAUGGACAGACUUAUUGACAGUAGCACAGUGUGAUGAGAAUGGUAAGAAGAAGAGAUAUUUAGGAAGACAGAUCUUCAAAUAUGUGGCGCUUUGGGAGUCAUGAUGAUGAGUGUGCAGUAUGUGAACCAGGAAUGGCUUCUUCAGUGUGUCCUUUAGCUCCCAGUGGCUGCCUCUCUCCCUAGAUUCCAAACUCGGUGUUACCAGUAUGCAGUCUCAUUGCUUCCUUAUGGCAGGACACAGAGUAAUUAAAUACAUGUUUUCAUAUUAUAUUUCCUUAUUAUAUUCUACUUUUUUUUACCACAGUGUACAUUAUUUUUAUCUUUACUAGAUCAAAAAAGUCAUACCUUCUUUAAAAAUAAAAUGUGAUGGUGAC